rnacentral:sRNA from 1 species
GAAAGAGAGAAAUAGUUUAGACCGCUGUGAUAAUAAUAAGCUAUUAUUUAUUGCGUUCUGGCCUUGCACACAGCAUACAGUUACAUAGCUUACAUGUGCUAACUUACCCAGAUGCUUACAAUCACUAUAUAAGGCAAGCACCUCCUUUUUUACUGAGGAGGUAUGAGUAUGUGUAACAGCAGCACUGCUCAGCGGUGGUAAUAAGAUCCAACCCUAGCCACACAGUUGAAUGUCUGUGUGGAGUGGGGUGAACAGGAGACUGCAAUACUAACUCUUCUCACUGCAUCAACUACCAAUUAAGAAAUAUUCCUAGAAUUGAAUCUCAUGCUAUAAGUAUUGAUGAUAUGAACCCAAACCCAAAAAAUGUGAUAGGACCCCUGGGAUUACAGCCUAACACGGGAGAUAAGCGUAUGCCCAAACAACAGGAAGAACAACAUGGUAGAGGGGGUUUCAAUGAGACGUCCCCCAUAGUCUCGUGUAUUUGAAUACCUGGUCCCCUGUUGGUGGCACUGUUUGGGGAGGUGUAGGAGGCGUGGCUUUAUUGAAGAAAGUGCGUGAUCAGAGGUGGGCUUUAAGAGUUUAAAUACUCGCACCAUUUCCAGUUCACUCUUUGUGUUGUGUGCUUGUGAUUCAAGACAGGAGCUCUUAGCUUGCUGCUCUGGCCCAUCUGCUGCCACACCUCUGAGAGGAUGGACUCUCAUCCCCUGGAGCUGACAGGCCAAGUAAAACCUUCUUCCUGUAAAUUGCCUUGGCUACAGCAACAGAACAGUAACUAAUGCAGUAGCUAUCCACCGUCCGGUAGGGGGAGGUGGCUGUGCACUCUCUGCUGUAGGAUCUGAGGAAUUAAGAACUGAAACUGUCAAAGGGCAUAGAGCUUUGAGUGAGAGGUCCAGAAGGAAGGUCUGGUAAAUAGAGGAGAGGCCAGAUAGUGAGGGACCUUGUGUGUGAGAAGUCAGGGUAUGAUUGUGAGGGCCUGUGUGAGAGAAGUCACAGAAUGGAAUAACGUGUAGCCACAAGGAUGCGUGCCAGUGACCUCUUGCAUUCUGAAGAUAACUGUAUGAACUCUGAGCAGUAAAAGCAGGAUUCCAGGCUGGGUGCUGUGUUAAUAGUUGGUUUAAGACAGGGCUGGAGAGAUGGUUCAGCAGUUAAAGUCACUGACUGCUCUUCCAGAGGACCAGAGUUCAAAUCCUAUACGGAAUCAAUGGUGCAGAGGGGAACUGAGACCAUGUCUCAAGCUGAAAGCAGAACCUGAUAAUAUGUAGAAGAUUGCCAGACAGUACCAGCUUUAGAGACAUGAUGGGGUUAUGGAGAGCAAUUGAGGCCAGAAGGUAUUAAUGAAGGUGCAGCCUCAGUUGCAGUGGAGACCCCAGCAUAAUGGGUGUUGCCAAGACCAUGGGACGGCACAUACACACUAUGACCACCAAGGAUGGUAGCAGGUGUGGAAUGCAGUUGGCCUGACCCUAGGAGACACAGGCUGUGCGUUUUAUGAAUGACACCAAAGAAGUAAAGCUGCCCAAGCCCUUUGGAGCUCAGAAGAUAACAAGUCUCAGUUGUCAGACACUGAGCUUCAGGAUUUGGAGCGACAGUGCUGGAUAUUGAUUUUUCUUAGUUGUGGUAGAUCUAUGCCUUGGUUGUUCUCUCUUGGAAUAAAAAAUGUAAUUUAUUUUUUAUUUUACUUUGGAGAUUUUGGAAUUUUAAAGAAGAGUUGGAUUUUUAAAAUGAAACUUGGAUAUUUAAAGUGUUGAGAUUUUUAAAGAUCAUGCAACUUUAAUUGGACUGUUUUAUCUUAUGGUAUUAACGUAUCUUGGAGAUAAGAAGGGUUAAGGUUUGAUAGUGAUGUGUUUACAGUAUGCCAAGUUGAUAAAGAAUCAGAGGGGAAACAAACCGUAAGUGUAUUAUAAAAUUCUUUAAAAUUUUUUUAUAAGCCAGGUCUCUAAGUAACUUAUAAACUUUUUAAGUUUCAAAAUAACUUUGAAUUUUAAAAAUGGAAAUAUAGUGGUUUUAUUUUCAAGAGUUUAAGCUAACCAGUUUAUCAUCAAUUUGAGGGAAAAAUAUUGUUGUAUAAAAUAAACAAGAUGGACUCAGGCCCCAGAAGACAUGAGUUGCAUGUUCUCACUUCCGUGUGGCUCUUUAGAUUUGUGUGUUUACACAAAUUCCUGCAAAGUCCAUGAAACUGGAUAAUACCAGGUUUAAGUAGGAAGAGGGAUGGGAGAGUAGGAGAGAAAAGGACACUGAGAAAGAAUAACACAUGAUGUUUGAAAGAAAACCAGGAAACCUACUAUCCUGUAAGGUUCAUAUAUAACAUGAAGGCGUGACAUUGAAGUCACCCUGUACAGGGUAUGCUGUUCCUCCUGCAUACAGGGUGCUAAAUAAGAAUGCCAGUGCCACAUGCAGGAUGCCUUCCUUGAGCUCUUGAGCAGAGGUGUCCGAGUGCCACCGAACAGUACGGGAGAAUGCUGCUGCUUUGCUUGUUCAUCAGAACUUGGUGGUGAGACCCCAUUUCUGCAGACAGCACAUGCAUUGCUCAGUUACAAAGAGAGUCAGGCAACUUUUUAAAAAAAAUUUAAAGGAAAUUAAGUUGUUGUGUUAGGGGCCAAAUGAUCAAAGUACCUUGCAUGAAAGUCUCAUUAAAGAAAAUGUCAAAGAAUGACUAAGUGUUUGUGUUGCUUCUAUAGAGAUAGCAGGAAAAUGGAUGAUCUGGAAAGCAUUCAACGAAGCUACCUGAACUCACAGAGACAAAAAUCACAAGUUCUGUGUCACGUGUGGAUCCUGGCCUAGAAUGUGUAUGUGGAUGCACAGAAGUGGGGAAGGGGUGAGGACAUGCUAUGAAACUAGAAAGAUCACAGAGGGCUAAUGUGGUUGAUACUAGGGUAGUGAGAGGCAGUAGGUAAUAGGGUGCAUGUGAUAUGAAGGCGUCGAGGAGGCCAUGGGGUAUGGGAGAGUACACGAGGAGGUUGAAGGCCAAAGAAGAGUGGGUAAGGACCAAAAGAACAAUUCUAUCUAAAAUGCCAUGAUUUAACUGUGUGCACUAACUCCAAACUUUCUCAGUAAAAAAUACAGCGAUGAUUUUCCAUUGUGUUUUAAAUGGUUUUAAAAUUUUUAAACAGACACUCGUAGUUACUGGAAAAAAAAAAAAAAGAAACAACACACAAUCCAUUUCAGAGUGGCAGUGUUUAGACUCGGUAGAAGCAUAGUUCUAAUAAGCAUGGUCUAGAAGGCCCAGUGGGGUUUAUUUUCAUUCUCACAGCUGUACCUGCAGAGAUGAAACCAAGGGCAUUAGCGGAGUCCACACUGUGUUGUUUAUCUAAAUUCGAACUCUAAAAGAGCUCUAAAAUGUAGGCUGUGCUCCUUGGUAUCCAUAUAUCAUGUUCAGUUACAGAGGAAAACUGCAAAACAAAUGGGCAGGAGCAUGUUCUCUGGGCACAGAGGAAGCGUUUUUCUGCCUUUUCAGUUUUUCAGAACACAGGAACAUUACUAACCCAAGCAUUACUAGCACAAGGCCAAGGCCUUAUCCAUCGGCUGACAGGUUACAGGGGUUCCUCAUGGGAGACACCUGGAAUAUGUGUUUUCGUCUUAGCGUCAUCCUUUAGCACAGCACUUGCUGUUGCCUGCAAAGGGGAAUCACACUGAGUAACCAGAGUUCCUAUGACUAGACACCAAUCUCACCUAUCCUGUGCAGAAUGACUUCCAGCUGCGAGCAAAAGUAGUAAUCUGAAGCCAGCAGGAACUAGCGAAGAGAGCAGGCAGGGCUAUGCAAUUGUUAAUACGGAAGACAAACUGGCACGAGACGCAAGAGAGCUGAACAGGGACAUGGACAGUGGAGCGCCACUCACAUUUUGGAGUCCUUUUAAUGUUCAAAUUUAGAUGGCUAUGCAGAGUGCUGGCACCUGAACGUAGGCCCUCAUGUACUGGGCAAGUGCUCCACCCUAAACUAUCCCUGUAACCCCAAGGACUACUUUUAACUAAAACGUUUGGCUCUUUAAUGUCAUGAUGCUUCAUGACUCAAACUCCUAUUCGUUGCUAAACAAAACAACUACUGUUUUGACUCUCAAGCAGAAUUUUCUUUGUAUCUUUAUCAAUUAGCAAGAAUCCUUUCUUACAGUGUGGAGUUAAAUGUAAAAGCCUAGAAGUUUGCUUAUUUGAAUCUAGGCCCAGCCAUGUAUUAGUUCAUUCCCUGUUAGCUGUUUGUCUCUGCACAGCUCCUUAUCUUGAGGGGUGGUACUUACCUCAUAGGGCUGAGGAGUUGAUAUAUGGAGCACCUAAGAGUAGGUCCUGGCCCUGACCCUGCUGACAGCUCACAUUAUCAGAUAGCAGCUUACCUUUAAUGGUAUCCCCUGACUUCACACUAGUGGUUGACAACACCAAGUGAUUAAGAAAUGUGUUCUGAAUUCACAGACACAGACAAGGUUUUCUCUCUAGUUCAAACACACGGUAACACGGCAACCUUGGUGAGUCAGCGAGGGCAUUCUGAUUUUAUUGACAAGUGUAUUAGAAAAGAAAGAAAGGCGUAAGAUUGAGCAAGGAAAGUAACAGGCCAUUCUGGGUCAGUAAUUCUGUCUCUUCAUGCUAUGGCGGUUUCUGAGCUAUUUAAAGAGCCAGCUGGAGUUCUCUGCACAGGCAAGAACGCUAGUCUUUAGCAGGGGUCAGACAAGUUUCCCAUAGAUGUUCUUGUAAAGAGCUCUUCAACAACUCCUAAAAUAUCUACUCGUUACAGCUGGCCCUUAACCUUCUCCAGGGUAGACAAAGUCCUAACCUUGCUUACUGGGGCAUUUUCUCUGUGCAGAGUCAUGGGUGGGCUGCCUCUUCUUCCACUUCCUCCUUUAAAAUCCCAUAGCCCUGGCACUUAGCUCUCUUGUCCUGAUCUACAGUCUGUGGUAUGCUUACACUCAUUCACGUAAACCAUAGGGUUCCACUACCACAGCUGGGCAUGAACGCCAAUGCACCGUGCCCUUCUAGAGGACUCAGAUUCAGCUGCCAGCACCUGUGUGGUGGCUCAUAACCACCUGCCAACUCCAGUUCUGGGGGAUCCAGGGCCUUCUUCUGACCUCUUCUUGAACCAGGCAUGCAUGUGCUGCACAGACAUAACAUGCGGACAAAAUAUCCAUCCACACGAAAUAAAAUAAACUAGGAGGAGGCUUUGUUGGGGGAAAGGGUUACCAUGGGAGAGGAGGGGAUGAGAAAAAGGAUGCCAGUGGAAACAACUAAAACUCACCAAGGAAUUAAACUGUCAAUAAGUAGGAACAUACAAACUAAAGUGACCUAGAACAGAUGCCGCCUCACACAAAAACAAAAAGAACAAAGGACGAGCUCUUGGUAGACUGUUUUGAGAGGAUUAAUAUGACCACCCGUGUGUAGGAACAAUUCUGGAAUUUUGGUUUCAUUAAAAACACAGAAGUAUUGUAAGAAUGUGUUCUUUUCAUCCCAGGUGUGGACUGUCCACGGCAGCUGACUAUGAUCCUCCCUGGUCUCUAUCGGAAGCAUUGGUUUUGCCAGCUAAAGACAGUUUCUGUCAAUGUGUGACAUUUGGAAUUCUGGGAACUUUUCCGUGAAUGCUAGGGCCUCAAUAGGUGUGGUCAACAAUUCUUGGUCAUUUAGGGAGGUUGGUUAUAGUGAGCCAGGGUCAAAAAAGAAACGGAAAUUAGAUUCAGAGAUUCUUCCGUUUCCUUUCUCCUCUCUCUCCUUGUUUCUCUCUUAUCUAAUGUUAGGUGGUGAAACGGGGAGGGGGAUAAAGGGAGGAGGAAAAAGAACCCUCAAAGUAUGGAAGACUAGCCACACCCAUGCAUAGUAGGUUCAUUUUCAGCCGAAAAGGCUGAGAGGUCUAGGUUAGAAAAGACCACAGUGCUAAGGCCUGGUUCUGAAUGCCAUUGGCUUCCAAUAUCUCACAGCAGCAGCAAAAAGAAAAAAAAAAAAUCAGUACCCACUGACAGAGAUGCUAUUAGCCAUCAAGGAAAAAUUGCCACGGGACCUGGUAUUUAAAAAAGGGCAGAGGACAAUAAAGGAUUUACAACUGAGAACUAGCACCCCAAAGAAUUUGAGGAGAUGGAUAUUGCUACACACUGGCAGGAGUGUACGGAGCAACCCGAGGGAGACGAUCAGAUGCUAAAAUACAUUUUAUGUACCAUUUAGCAACUCCUCUCUGGGAUGAAUCGCAAAGAAACAUUAAACAUUUGCACAAGAGAGGAAACCAAGGGAAGAGAAGCCCAAGCUGAGAGCCAGGAAGCAGUUUUGUACACACACACUAGUCCAGCAGACAAAAGUCUAAAGGCUGAAGGCCAUUCAGCUGAACAGUCUUUUAUAGACUUUCUAUUCCCUCCCUUAACUCUAUAGAAAUUCAGAGUGAUUACACACACACACACACACACACACACACACACACACACACACACACACACAAACAGAUUGGUUACAUCAAACUUGUUUAAUGAAGUUUUCUCAACUCUCCCAUAAGCAGAAUUUUUCACCCAAGCAGCAGAAUUUACAAGCCAUUUACAGUGCAGGUAGGAAGGGGGAGAAAUUUGGUUAUGGGAGAGAAAAGGCAUAGUGAGAUAUUGAAAGGAAGCCUGUUGAUUCCUGAGGACUUCUGCCACAUCUCCCUUUGCUGCUAGAGUCUCUUUUGGGAUCAUGGAGCAUCAUCCUGGCUUAUAGGCUUGUUUUUGCCAUAGCAUCCCAACACGAGUGUCAGUUUUUAUCUUAGUUGUGCUUUCUAUGCACAGAGAGAUGUUUUUAGCCAAGCGAAUUAGAGGGCAAAACCAAGCAACCACCCAGGGUUAAAAACCACAGCAUCUAUAAGGGUUUGAAUUCCCCCAGGUGCCAAAAUCAUCUUCCUGAUAAAUCUCUGGGGCCCCAAGGCCUUCAAGAUUUAGAGUGGGACAUAAGCAAGUUUUGUCACACUUCCUGUGAUGUCCUCUACAGCCUCUGUCUGCUUGGGUUGAACCUUCCAUAGAGGCAAGAAGAUAGUCUAAGACCAAGUGAUUGUGAAAAUGACACUAUACACCUUGUCUUGUUGAUUGACUAGCAACUAAGGAGCAGUUUUAAGUUGUACUAGUCCGAAAUUCAAGAGCAGCCUAUGGCCUAUGGCCUAAUGAUGCUAUUUAACAUACAGAGAUAGUAUGCUGGCCAUGAGGCCUAUCUUCUAUCCUAGUGACUAGACCAGAGAAUAUUGAGUUAAACAUUCAGAGAGCCAGUCAUUGUCUUCCUGGUCUCUAAUUUUUAUAGCUGGUGUUUGUUUCUAGCUCAGAAUAUCCAAUCCUUGAAUACCCACUCUCUGGCUGUUCAUAAUUAAGAAUAGAGUGCAACCUCAUAGCAGAAAGAAUACAACAUGGGUGUGGGCUUAGUGUAAGACACUAACCCUUCAGUCUUGGAAGAGGGUUCCAAGGAUCCAGAGUUGGUUAUGUGCAUUUCAAUACAGAGGACCCUUCUCAAUUCUAGGCUUGCUGGGUUAAAGACAGUAAAGUCAAAAAGAUUAAUAGUCCCUAAGUCACACCAGGACAUGGUUACAUCCACUUUCAGUUGCAAUUACCCAACUGAAGGCAUACCAUGCCAUCACUGUGCUGUCCUCCAUUUCUUUUAGGAAUCAGGUACCCCCAAGAAGCUUAUAGCUGACUUGUCCUAGACCCAGCAGAGAUGAGGGCUGUUUAAUGGUAAUUAUUUUAUUGAUUGUACCAUCCUUAUUGGAGGCUGUCAAAUGGCCUGUUUUGUCGAUUGAGCGUGUCUUACGUGUCCACAUACAUCAAGAGACUGUCUUCGGUGCAGAGGAAUCAGAGCCUGUGUUCUUAUAAGUAGGGUUCCGUCCCAUCUUUGAACUUUUGAACCACUCCCAAAAGAAGGGGGAGUAGGGAAUCUAAUAGUGGUUAAAACAGGUGCAUUGGUCUUUACAUUCACACAUUCUUGAGGCCUUUCUCUGAGAUUCAAAAUGAGUGUGACAUAGCACGGUUCAAGUGACCCCAUGCAAGAGUCACAGGAUGGUUCAGAGACCAUGACAGAGAGCCAAAAUAACAGCAACAGAUAACAGCCAUGCAUCCUGUGCAAAGGAGGCUAACAGGAACCUCUAGCCACUAGUUCCAUCUGCUCCUGUAGCAAAGGCCCAAAGCAGGAGGAUCAGGAGAGGUAAAAGCAGGGAGUUGGCAGUGCAUUCGUGAGGUAGUACAGAGAGCGGCAGUUUGCUUGUCCCACCAUAAACAGGCCAGUUGGCUGCUAGAAUGACUGAAGCAAUGUUGUCGUUCUCUGAUCUAGCUGUGUCUCUUGACCUCUUCAAGUCCUUUGAUGGUACAAUGGGAUUUCUGCAGAUGGUCAGCUUGCAUGGUGUCGCUGGGUCAUUCCCAGUUAUUGGAGGCUGGAUUCUCUUUGUUAUGACGAAUCCUGGGAGUCAUCUUGGCAGGCUUUACUGCAGUGCGAGUGGAUAUAACAACACUGAAUCGACCUCUCUGUAAAGGCUUCAGAACCUGGAUAUUCCAUUCUUUUCUGCACACUGCAUAAAGGAGUGUGUUUGCAGUUAAACUUACAGAAAACCAUUCCGUGGCUUUCUGAUGGUGACCAGGGUGGAGCAGAGCUCCCGCAUCCGCUGUCUUAAAGUGAUAUUACCAAAUCCUUUUAAGUUCCCUUGUAUUUCCCUGACAAGGAGAGGAUACCUGUAAAGGAUUUCAUAAAGAGAAAACCCUGCUUGGUAGUCCUGUCUGCUGGGGCAGCCGUCUGAAUCCUGUAGCAAAGGCCCAAAGUGGGAGGAUUGGGAAAGAUAAAAGCAAAGGUUUGGCAAUGCAAUUAGAUCUGAUUUCUAACAAAGCAAUUGUUUGGUGAGCCUUUUGCCAUGGUUCACAUGUAAUUUUACUGUCUAGUUCACAGACCCCACCUUCGGAGAGCUCCAUGGAAGAUAUGGCUUGUGUAGCUUUCAGGGGAUUUUUAACCUUUUAGCUACCAACUGUAUAUACUGUCUCUGCCACAAAUGUGGGCCAAGUGUCUGACCCUAUAAGCAACAUCAAUCCCAAACCCAGAAAUGAUUUGUUAGAAGCCGUAUUAUUUCAAAUGCCCUUUCUAGAAAGGCUCGGCAUAUAUAACCCAAGGAUUCGCAU